AUUGAACGCUGGCGGAAUGCUUUACACAUGCAAGUCGAACGGCAGCACGGGGGCAACCCUGGUGGCGAGUGGCGAACGGGUGAGUAAUACAUCGGAACGUACCCAGUCGUGGGGGAUAACGUAGCGAAAGUUACGCUAAUACCGCAUACGAUCUACGGAUGAAAGCGGGGGACCGUAAGGCCUCGCGCGAUUGGAGCGGCCGAUGUCAGAUUAGGUAGUUGGUGAGGUAAAGGCUCACCAAGCCGACGAUCUGUAGCUGGUCUGAGAGGACGACCGGCCACACUGGGACUGGGACACGGCCCAGACUCCUACGGGAGGCAGCAGUGGGGAAUUUUGGACAAUGGGCGCAAGCCUGAUCCAGCCAUUCCGCGUGCAGGACGAAGGCCUUCGGGUUGUAAACUGCUUUUGUACGGAACGAAAAGGCUCUGGUUAAUACCUGGGGCUCAUGACGGUACCGUAAGAAUAAGCACCGGCUAACUACGUGACAGCCGCCGCCGUAA
rnacentral:rRNA from 1 species